CGUAUAUUAAAGUUGUUGUCAGUUAAAAGCUCGUAGUUGAAUUCGGGGUUAGUAGAUUGGUCAUGCCUCUGGUAUGCACUGGUCUUACUGAUUCCUCCUUCCUGAUGAACCGUAAUGCCAUUAAUUUGGUGUUGCGGGGAAACUGGACUGUUACUUUGAAAAAUUAGAGUGUUUAAAGCAGGCUAACGCUUGAAUACAUUAGCAUGGAAUAAUGAAAUAGGACGUUCGAUCCUAUUUUGUUGGUUUCUAGGAUUGACGUAAUGAUUAAUAGGGAUAGUUGGGGGCAUUAGUAUUCAAUUGUCAGAGGUGAAAUUCUUGGAUUUAUUGAAGACUAACUACUGCGAAAGCAUUUGCCAAGGAUGUUUUCAUUAAUCAAGAACGAAAGUUAGGGGAUCGAAGACGAUCAGAUACCGUCGUAGUCUUAACCAUAAACUAUGCCGACUAGGGAUCGGAUGAUGUUAAUUUUUUAAUGACUCAUUCGGCGCCUUACG
rnacentral:rRNA from 1 species